AUUGAACGCUGGCGGCAUGCUUUACACAUGCAAGUCGAACGGUAACAGGCCGCAAGGUGCUGACGAGUGGCGAACGGGUGAGUAAUGCAUCGGAACGUGCCCAGCCGUGGGGGAUAACGCAGCGAAAGCUGUGCUAAUACCGCAUACGAUCUAUGGAUGAAAGCGGGGGACCUUAAGGCCUCGCGCGAUUGGAGCGGCCGAUGUCAGAUUAGCUAGUUGGUGGGGUAAAGGCCCACCAAGGCGACGAUCUGUAGCUGGUCUGAGAGGACGACCAGCCACACUGGGACUGAGACACGGCCCAGACUCCUACGGGAGGCAGCAGUGGGGAAUUUUGGACAAUGGGCGCAAGCCUGAUCUAGCAAUGCCGCGUGCAGGAAGAAGGCCUUCGGGUUGUAAACUGCUUUUGUACGGAACGAAACGGUCUGGGUUAAUACCCUGGGCCAAUGACGGUACCGUAAGAAUAAGCACCGGCUAACUACGUGCCAGCCGCCGCCGUAACAC
rnacentral:rRNA from 1 species